GGCGCGGGCGAGCCGCCGGUGCGUCUGCUCUGUGCAGUUGAGCGUUUAAAAACCCGGACUGUGUUCUCCAUCUAUGCCCUGGUCUAUGAGUCCAGGAAAACCAGCUCCUUUCUGUUUGACAUUUUAAGAUUUCCGCAGUUGGGAGAUUAAAAUCAUUUGGCAUUUCAGUUACAUACGUAGAGCUUUUCUGUCCUUUCCUUCCCUCCUCCUUCCUUCCCUCCUUCUUAGUGCUAUUCUAUCAUUUCUUAUUUUCUUUUUUUUGUUUUUUUUGGUACCGGGGAUCGAACUCAGGACCUUGCGCUCGCGAGGCAGGCGGCGGAACCACUGAGCUAAAUCCCCGGCCCCGUGCUAUUCUAUAAUUUCUUUUUUUAUUAUUAUUCUAUAAUUUCUUAAUCGUGCUGUAGGUCCGACGAAACAGGGUCGAGUAUGCGGUUAUUCCGAAGUCCCCCUGCUCUGCCCAGCCACGUGGGCGGUGCUAGAGCGCAAGGAAAAGAAAAGUGAAUCCAGCGCGAUUCUCGAUUCUCGCAGGUGCGCGUUACGGUGUUUCUGACAAGCGUCCACUCAGCGCUGGACAAAUGUGAGAGUGAAUGCCCCCCUCCCAAAGUGGCCAGGACUUUUCUGAGUGCCGGUAAGGUCUGCAGUUAAAGGGACCAGAGUUGCUGAGAGAAGCAGCUGUUUCCAGGUGAGAGCAAAGGAAGCACGAGGUGAGCCUGGGAUGUCUGCACCCGCCUGAACACAAGGAGCUGUCCCAGCAGUGAUGGGGACGCGUCCAGAGGGCGCCAAACAGUGUGAAGGAGCUCCCUUUGGCCCACUCGGAAACACUCUGAGCAUCAAAAGGAAAUGGGGGUAAUAACGUUGCAACCCGUUAAGUAAAAAGAUGCUGGCCUGCACCUAUUUAUGAGGAGGCAUUGGGGUGACCUGGACUGACAGACAUUCUACAAAACAGGCCCCCUGUAACCUUCCAAAAUGUCAGGAUCAUGAAAAUCAAAGAAAAGUUUGAAGAACUGUUCCCCACCGGCAGGGGCCACAGGGAUCACUAUAAGCAACACGAGGUCCCCAACUGGAUCCUUCGCUGUGAAAGACAAUAUGGAGACAUCUGUGGCGACCAUUAGGUGACACGGACCUUCAGUAACUCUCUGACAGUGAGCUUGGUGUGCUCACCUCGUUCUGUGAAGGUGCCUUGAGCAGGGAUCACAAGCUUCCAGGCAGGUGUGAGCUCACUGGCACCCUCCCUGCACUUCAGGGCUCCUCACAUGGAGGCCACCUUUGAUGCUGAUGCCAGCCGCACCCGUGACAUCUCUGUUGUGGACAAGAGAACAGGAAAGGGGAAGAAGACUGCUGUCGCAGAGACAAGGGCCACUUGGACAAGGAAGACAGUGAGCGUGCGGCUGGGGAAGCUGGAAGGCUUGGAGCCAGAGAUGAGGAGUAGAGGAGCAGGCAUCGAGCAGGAAUUGCUUAAGUCAUAUUCAUUCAACACGAAGCCAAUAACGGAAGAUGAGAAACUUCAACGCAAGAGCAGCAAUGAGGAAAAACAGUCAAUUUUCAGAUUUUUACGGAUAAUAUUGUUCUACUACAUGCAACAUAUUGUUCUGACUGUACAAGCGCUAGGACCCAAAUUCCAUCCCCAGUACCAGAAAAACAAAACAAAACAUAUCGUUCUGAAAUACACCUACAUUGUGAAAUGCCACAUCUAGUUAACUAACAUUUGAUUACCUCGUGUGGUUGAUCAUUUGUCAUCUCCUCUCUUGGCAUUCUUCAAGAAUGUAAUAUGAAAUAUUUAAAAAACCAAUAGGAAAUAGGGGGAAUGAAAAGAAUUAAGAUAUGGGCCGGGGAUUUAGCUCAGUGGUUUCGCCGCCUGCUGUGCAAGCGCAAGGACCUGAGUUCAAUCCCCAGUACCAAAAAAAAAAAAAGGAAAAGAAUUAAGACGUGUUAUGUAUAUGUACCAACUCUCCAAGAAUAAAUGCUGCCUACAUGAUACUCA